rnacentral:lncRNA from 1 species
AGCAAAAGCAAAAAGAUGUGGUAUUGCAGUAUUUGUCCUAUAUGUGCAAAUAAGAAUCGGGCAGAUCUUUACUCAGAGUAUAAUAGAAACCUAAAAGAAAAGAAUUGAAGAAGCCCAUUCAUAAACAAGAAAAUUACAUUGUGAUUUAAUUUUAUUUAGAUUCGAUCUCGAUGAAAACAAUACAUCAAUGAGGAGUUAGUUCAAAAAGUUAAAUACAUUCUAUAUGUA